rnacentral:tRNA from 1 species
UGGAGCAUAGCUCAGUAGUAGAGAACUUGCCUAACAUGCAUGAGGCCCUGGGUUCACUUUCCAGCACUUCAA